rnacentral:rRNA from 1 species
UACUAGAGUAGCACUCGCAUAUCAAUAAGCGGAGGAAAAGAAACUAACAAGGAUUCCCCUAGUAACGGCGAGUGAAGCGGGAAGAGCUCAAAUUUGAAAUCUUAAAGGGUUUCCCUUUACGAAUUGUAGUUUAAAGAAGUGUUUUCUGCUGAGGUUUUGGUAAAAGUUCUUUGGAAUAGGACAUCAUAGAGGGUGAGAAUCCCGUAUUUGACCUUUACUUUCAACUUUGUGAUACACUUUCAAAGAGUCGGAUUGUUUGGGAAUGCAGUCCAAAAUGGGUGGUAAAUUUCAUCUAAAGCUAAAUAUUGGCGAGAGACCGAUAGCGAACAAGUACCGUGAGGGAAAGAUGAAAAGAACUUUGAAAAGAGAGUUAAACAGUACGUGAAAUUGUCAAAAGGGAAGCGUUUGACACCAGUGUUGUUUUUCUGAAAAUCAAUUAAAGAACUGUUUAUGCUAAGCUGUUUAGACUUUAUCAGCUAUCUGUUUAGUUUUGAGCUUUUCUUUAAUGCACCUUUCAGUUAACAAGUCAACAUCAAUUUCUUUUGCUGUAAAAAAGCUUGAGGAAGGUGGCUUGAGAUUCGUCUUAAGUGUUUAUAGCCUCUUGCCUAUGCAGUCGGAGAGAUUGAGGUCUGCAGCGUAGAUCCUUCGGGGCUAAAUGCAUUUGUGCUAAGUUAUAGCAUUUUAUAGACAACUUGUUGACUAUGAUUUGUCUUGUAGCUUACUCGCUUAUGUUAUUUUACCUACGCUUAGGAUGUUGAACUACUGAGACAUAG